rnacentral:rRNA from 1 species
GAGUCUUAAUUGGGCGUUAAGUUGCAGGGUAUAGACCCGAAACCCGGUGAUCUAGCCAUGGGCAGGUUGAAGGUUGGGUAACACUAACUGGAGGACCGAACCGACUAAUGUUGAAAAAUUAGCGGAUGACCUGUGGCUGGGGGUGAAAGGCCAAUCAAACCGGGAGAUAGCUGGUUCUCCCCGAAAGCUAUUUAGGUAGCGCCUCGUGAAUUCAUCUCCGGGGGUAGAGCACUGUUUCGGCUAGGGGGCCAUCCCGGCUUACCAACCCGAUGCAAACUGCGAAUACCGGAGAAUGUUAUCACGGGAGACACACGGCGGGUGCUAACGUCCGUCGUGAAGAGGGAAACAACCCAGACCGCCAGCUAAGGUCCCAAAGUCAUGGUUAAGUGGGAAACGAUGUGGGAAGGCCCAGACAGCCAGGAUGUUGGCUUAGAAGCAGCCAUCAUUUAAAGAAAGCGUAAUAGCUCACUGGUCGAGUCGGCCUGCGCGGAAGAUGUAACGGGGCUAAACCAUGCACCGAAGCUGCGGCAGCGAACGUAUCACUUAAAGCGAUUCAGCGGGUUACGAUUGACGGAGCGAAGCGACGUCAAAGCGUAUACAAAGUCGAGUCGGUUUAAGGAUACGUUCGUUGGGUAGGGGAGCGUUCUGUAAGCCUGUGAAGGUGUGUCGUGAGGCAUGCUGGAGGUAUCAGAAGUGCGAAUGCUGACAUAAGUAACGAUAAAGCGGGUGAAAAGCCCGCUCGCCGGAAGACCAAGGGUUCCUGUCCAACGUUAAUCGGGGCAGGGUGAGUCGACCCCUAAGGCGAGGCCGAAAGGCGUAGUCGAUGGGAAACGGGUUAAUAUUCCCGUACUUGGUGUUACUGCGAAGGGGGGACGGAGAAGGCUAUGUUGGCCGGGCGACGGUUGUCCCGGUUUAAGCGUGUAGGUGUGUGUUCCAGGUAAAUCCGGUUCACUUUAACACUGAGGCGUGAUGACGAGGCACUACGGUGCUGAAGCAACAAAUGCCCUGCUUCCAGGAAAAGCCUCUAAGCAUCAGGUAACAUCAAAUCGUACCCCAAACCGACACAGGUGGUCAGGUAGAGAAUACCAAGGCGCUUGAGAGAACUCGGGUGAAGGAACUAGGCAAAAUGGUGCCGUAACUUCGGGAGAAGGCACGCUGACAUGUAGGUGAAGUGAUUUACUCAUGGAGCUGAAGUCAGUCGAAGAUACCAGCUGGCUGCAACUGUUUAUUAAAAACACAGCACUGUGCAAACACGAAAGUGGACGUAUACGGUGUGACGCCUGCCCGGUGCCGGAAGGUUAAUUGAUGGGGUCAGCGCAAGCGAAGCUCCUGAUCGAAGCCCCGGUAAACGGCGGCCGUAACUAUAACGGUCCUAAGGUAGCGAAAUUCCUUGUCGGGUAAGUUCCGACCUGCACGAAUGGCGUAAUGAUGGCCAGGCUGUCUCCACCCGAGACUCAGUGAAAUUGAACUCGCUGUGAAGAUGCAGUGUACCCGCGGCAAGACGGAAAGACCCCGUGAACCUUUACUAUAGCUUGACACUGAACAUUGAGCCUUGAUGUGUAG